AUUGAACGCUGGCGGCAGGCCUAACACAUGCAAGUCGAACGGUAACAGAAAGCAGCUUGCUGCUUUGCUGACGAGUGGCGGACGGGUGAGUAAUGUCUGGGAAACUGCCUGAUGGAGGGGGAUAACUACUGGAAACGGUAGCUAAUACCGCAUAACGUCGCAAGACCAAAGAGGGGGACCUUCGGGCCUCUUGCCAUCGGAUGUGCCCAGAUGGGAUUAGCUAGUAGGUGGGGUAACGGCUCACCUAGGCGACGAUCCCUAGCUGGUCUGAGAGGAUGACCAGCCACACUGGAACUGAGACACGGUCCAGACUCCUACGGGAGGCAGCAGUGGGGAAUAUUGCACAAUGGGCGCAAGCCUGAUGCAGCCAUGCCGCGUGUAUGAAGAAGGCCUUCGGGUUGUAAAGUACUUUCAGCGGGGAGGAAGGGAGUAAAGUUAAUACCUUUGCUCAUUGACGUUACUCGCAGAAGAAGCACCGGCUAACUCCGUG
rnacentral:rRNA from 1 species